rnacentral:rRNA from 1 species
UAGGGAAUCUUCGGCAAUGGACGAAAGUCUGACCGAGCAACGCCGCGUGAGUGAAGAAGGUUUUCGGAUCGUAAAACUCUGUUGUUAGAGAAGAACAAGGACGUUAGUAACUGAACGUCCCCUGACGGUAUCUAACCAGAAAGCCACGGCUAACUACGAGCCAGCAGCCGCGGUAAUACGUAGGUGGCAAGCGUUGUCCGGAUUUAUUGGGCGUAAAGCGAGCGCAGGCGGUUUCUUAAGUCUGAUGUGAAAGCCCCCGGCUCAACCGGGGAGGGUCAUUGGAAACUGGGAGACUUGAGUGCAGAAGAGGAGAGUGGAAUUCCAUGUGUAGCGGUGAAAUGCGUAGAUAUAUGGAGGAACACCAGUGGCGAAGGCGGCUCUCUGGUCUGUAACUGACGCUGAGGCUCGAAAGCGUGGGGAGCAAACAGG